rnacentral:rRNA from 1 species
UACAGAGGUCUCAAGCGUUGUUCGGAUUCAUUGGCGUAAAGGGUGCGUAGGUGGCGCCGUAAGUCAGGUGUGAAAUUUCGGAGCUUAACUCCGAAACUGCAUUUGAUACUGCGGUGCUUGAGGACUGGAGAGGAGACUGGAAUUUACGGUGUAGCAGUGAAAUGCGUAGAGAUCGUAAGGAAGACCAGUGGCGAAGGCGGGUCUGCUGGACAGUUCCUGACACUGAGGCACGAAGGCCAGGGGAGCAAACGGG